rnacentral:misc_RNA from 1 species
GUGAAUCAUCAAAUCUUUGAACGCAAAUUGCACUCUCCUCGGAGAGUAGGCCUGUUUGAGGGUCAGCCUAUAAAAAAUCAACAUUGUUGCUGUUUCGCUUUGGCGUUCGUUGGUAGUUUGGUUAUCUUAAAUCCUUUUGGGUUUUAAGCGACUUCAAAUUUUCUUUUUGUUUCCAUGAACGUUUCUACGAUUGAUUUCUUUACAUGUUUAAGGUAUCGAUUUUUAUUAGACGUGACCAUCAUAUCGGAUAGCGUUCAUAAUCUUUCUUU